rnacentral:rRNA from 1 species
UGGGGAAUUUUCCGCAAUGGGGGGAACCCUGACGGAGCAACGCCGCGUGCGGGAGGAAGGCCUGUGGGUUGUAAACCGCUUUUCUCUAGGAAGAAGGUCUGACGGUACUUGAGGAAUCAGCAUCGGCUAACUCCGUGCCAGCAGCCGCGGUAAUACGGAGGAUGCAAGCGUUAUCCGGAAUGAUUGGGCGUAAAGCGUCCGCAGGUGGUGAUGCAAGUCUGCUGUUAAAGAGUGUAGCUUAACUACUUAAAGGCGGUGGAAACUGCACCACUAGAGUACGUUCGGGGCAGAGGGAAUUCCUGGUGUAGCGGUGAAAUGCGUAGAUAUCAGGAAGAACACCGGUGGCGAAAGCGCUCUGCUAGGCCGUAACUGACACUGAGGGACGAAAGCUAGGGGAGCGAAUGGGAUUAGAUACCCGUGUAGUCC